UACGGAGGGGCUAGCGUUGUUCGGAAUUACUGGCGUAAAGCGCACGUAGGCGGCUAUUCAAGUCAGAGGUGAAAGCCCAGGGCUCAACCCUGGAACUGACCUUUGAACUAGAUAGCUAGAAUCUUGGAGAGGCGAGUGGAAUUCCGAGUGUAGAGGUGAAAUUCGUAGAUAUUCGGAAGAACACCAGUGGCGAAGGCGACUCGCUGGCAAGUAUGACG
rnacentral:rRNA from 1 species